UGAGAAAUCUGCUCAAUCUGAUCAUCAGCCAAUCUGUACUCUGAGGAAGGUGCUCUGCUGUCUGGCUGCUGAACUGGUGUGUGCCUUUUGGUGAACUCUGAAGGGCCAGCCUCUGGGUUUGAAACAAACUGGAUAUCUGGAGAUGCUGCCCUGAAGUCAUGGAGAGGAGAUGAGGGACCUUCUUCCUCAGCUCUGUCCUCAACUCUAUCCUCAGCUCUCUCCUCAGCUCUUUCUUCUGUACCCUUGAUCCAACCACCAUCAAUCCUAGUGAAUCCCAUGCGGUGCAGAAUGUGUUGGUUGAUGGUGUCUGCGUGAGAAAGCUUAGCAGAUGCCUCCCCAUCG
rnacentral:lncRNA from 1 species